UGCCAAGACUGAUGAAUGGCAUUUUGUGAAAAUCUGUCCACACCAGAAAGACUGGGUAUCUGUCAUUCAGAGAUUCUGCUAGUGCCAUUUAAACAGGAGUCAAAAUAAUUGCCAGUGCUUUCAGUUGCUACCUGAAACAUUAUCAUUCCUAAAGAACCAGGAAGGAGUGAGAGACACUAAUGAGUAGGGAUUUUCUUCUGAGUAAACUACGGAACUGAACAGAGAAUGGAGUCAGUGGAGUCUCAUGCAGAGAUGAACCACAUGCAUCGGAUUUCAAGUAUAAGGAUUUACAUAUUACUUGGUACAUUAUUUGAAGUAAGAAACAAUGACAGUGUCUUAAAUGGG